rnacentral:rRNA from 1 species
UACGUAGGAUGCGAGCGUUGUCCGGAAUUAUUGGGCGUAAAGAGCUCGUAGGUGGUUUGUCGCGUUGUUCGUGAAAACUCACAGCUCAACUGUGGGCGUGCGGGCGAUACGGGCAGACUAGAGUACUGCAGGGGAGACUGGGAAUUCCUGGUGUAGCGGUGGAAUGCGCAGAUAUCAGGAGGAACACCGGUGGCGAAGGCGGGUCUCUGGGCAGUAACUGACGUGGAGGAGCGAAAGCGUGGGGGAGCGAACAGGA